AGUGAACGCUGGCGGUAGGCCUAACACAUGCAAGUCGAACGGCAGCACAGUAAGAGCUUGCUCUUACGGGUGGCGAGUGGCGGAUGGGUGAGGAAUACAUCGGAAUCUACUUUUUCGUGGGGGAUAACGUAGGGAAACUUACGCUAAUACCGCAUACGACCUACGGGUGAAAGCAGGGGAUCUUCGGACCUUGCGCGAUUCAAUGAGCCGAUGUCGGAUUAGCUAGUUGGCGGGGUAAAGGCCCACCAAGGCGACGAUCCGUAGCUGGUCUGAGAGGAUGAUCAGCCACACUGGAACUGAGACACGGUCCAGACUCCUACGGGAGGCAGCAGUGGGGAAUAUUGGACAAUGGGCGCAAGCCUGAUCGAGCCAUGCCGCGUGGGUGAAGAAGGCCUUCGGGUUGUAAAGCCCUUUUGUUGGGAAAGAAAAGCAGCAGGUUAAUACCCCGCUGUUCUGACGGUACCCAAAGAAUAAGCACCGGCUAACUUCGUG
rnacentral:rRNA from 1 species